rnacentral:lncRNA from 1 species
UUCUUUCUUUUCUCUCCCUCUCGCUUCUUUUCUCUCUCUUCUCUCUCCUCUCCCCUCCCAUUCGUGCGGAUAGCCCCCCACCGACUUCUCUCUCUCUCUUCUCAUUUUGACCGGUCAAUCCUCAUCUUCUCUCUCUCUUUUCUCUCUUAUCUCUUCUUCUCUCUCCUCUCUCUUUCCCCCAUCCCCUCGUGACCGAACCCCCCUUUUUUCUUCUUCUUCUUGGUGCAAACCAGCGAACCAGAAGUGGAAGGAGCCGAGACAGUAGCCAGCCGCCGUCGUCGCCCACGCACCGCCGCAGCUCGCCGCCAGGCCGUCGCCCCGCCGUCCGCGCUCCGCCCCGCGUCCGUCCCCUCGCGCCCAGUCCUCCCCCGUGCGAUUUCAGCUGCUGUCCAGCUCGGUUCUACUCCGACCAGCCACCCUCGCCCUCCGCCCAGCUCCGCCUGGCGUCCCCGGCGUCCCCCUCGCCCUCCGCCGGCCUCCCCUCGCCGCCCUAGCCGCCGGAUUAGCUCCGGCAAGCCUUGAACCGCAACCCACGAAAUGGGUUUCCAGCUGGUUCGGGCCCGCUUUUGGGCCGUUUCCGGGCCCCGAAGCUGAGGCCCGCUUUGGAGUUUGUUGUUCCUCGCGUCGCCCCCGUCGGAUUGAUCCAAUUUGUGCACGAUUUGGUGAGUAAUUAAUUAUGUUUAGGUUGUUAGAUUAAAAUAAAUUAGCAAUUAUUAGUCAAUUGUGAUGCGAUUUAGAUAAAUUGAUUGCGCAAUUAGCAAUUAGACGUGGUCUACUAAUUAUUGGAAGUGUCUCGGGAUUUUUCCCGACCCUUAGUGGGCUCCAAUUAGGCUUUUCGGGCCUAAAUGGAAUUAUUAGUAUUUAAAUAUUAAUUUUCAGAAUUAAAUUAAAUAAUUAUUUAUUUUCCGAAAAUUCAACUGAGAUGGCCCGUGACCGGAAUAUUAUGCUGAUGACCGUGGUGAAGUUCGUUUAUUUAAUCGGGCUUUAUUUUGAGCUAAAUUGAAUUUUUAAUAUUAAUUAUUUAAUUUUCGAAAUUAAUAAAUUAUUUAUUUAUUUUUCGGAAAUUAAGAUUUUGAUGGCCGACGACCGAAAUCUCGUGCUAAUUGUCGUGGUGCAGUCCGUUUAUUUANN